UUACUGUAUACCAGGAACACAAAUUCAUUAAAUCCUCACAACUUUGAGACAGGCACAAAUAUUAUCUGUUUACUAGUGAGGAAUUACCUACGGUUUACUAGUAAGGAACACUGAGACCCACAGGUUGUGACUUGCUCAAGGUCAAGCUGGUGGAGCCAAGACAAGGUGCAGGCAGUGAGUCCUGCCCUAGAGUCUGACCCGAACCACAUUUAACGUCUAUGUGGUGUGUAGGUUAUUGCCAUGAGUAAGAAUCAGAAUUGUUAACGCGCAUUCCAGGAAGGCAGGGACACCACUGAGUGUUACUGCUGUACUUUAGGGGCCAGAGCAGGGCAGGCUGGAUGCGCGGAGGAAACUCAUAGUUAGGUCAGAAGCCUGGCAAGACAAGGGAAUUUUCUGGUCGUCGUCCACCUCUCCAACCUCACAUCCUACUAGUCUUCCAAGAGGAUUCUAACUGCACAUGACUCCCUAGUUUCCGGCUUCUCUUCCUAAGGAGGGUCUGCGGCCCGUCUGCACCACCCUCUCCCCACAGUCCCGUUUUCCUGUCCAUGCUUGGAUGGAUCCAGCCGAGCCGUCAGCCGCAGCUGCGCGCUGCUCCCCCGACUCGCACCCCCUCGGCGAAGCGCUGCAUUUUAUGUAAUUUUCUGCCGGGCUGCUGGCUUGUGGGGGAUGUGGCUGGGUCUCGGCAGCCUUCAGCGCCGCAGACGCUCCGGCAACGCCAGCAUACGAGGCCCCCGCCCCAGGAGCGCGGGUCCGGGCGGCGUUCCCCUCUGCGGGAGGCGCGGCGAGCCAAUCCUCACUUUAAAAGCUUUCCUGUCCUCGAAGCGAGGGGUCUUCCGUGCGGGGCAAGACGCACUGGCCCCAGACGACCGGUCCGUGAAAUGACCCUUCCGAGCGACCCGGAGCGGGCGACCUUGCCCAACCCGCGACUCGGGGCCCCUGCGGUCCCGCGUAGAGGACCCAGGUCCCACGGGGGGCGGCGGUGAAUCGCCCCCUCUUGUGGCCGCGCUUCCGCCCCCGGCACCCGCCCG
rnacentral:lncRNA from 1 species